rnacentral:rRNA from 1 species
AAGGGCACCACAAGAACGCGUGGAGCAUGUGGCUUAAUUUGACUCAACGCGGGAAAUCUUACCGGGUCCGGACACACUGAGGAUUGACAGGCAAUAUUAAUACGCGCUCUUACCAGACGUAUUAUGUUAAAUAUGCUAGUCCUUUCAUGAUUAUGUGAUAGGUGGUGCAUGGCCGUUCUUAGUUCGUGGAGUGAUCUGUCUGCUUAAUUGCGUUUCACUAAGGGCCUAUAAAUUUACGUAUGUUGCAUCGCACUUUGACCCCUUUCUUUAAUUGGAGAGCGCGCGUCUUAGUUUUCGCUUUGCUCAUACAAUUAGGUCCUGAAAGCAACGAACGUGACCGCAACCUCUUGUUGCCUUUAUACCAAACAUGUUUUGCGUGGCUCUUGCAGCACCGCAUUUCAUGAAAAAAGGCUUUUUAAACUAGAGGGACCGCUGUUACUUUCUUAAACCAGAGGAAGGUUGCGGCAAUAACAGGUCUGUGAUGCCCUUAGAUGUUCCGGGCUGCACACGUGCUACAAUGAUUAUUGCAGUGAGCAUCUCAUUUUUACACACCGCAUGCGCGAGUCCAUUUAUUCACCUUCGGGGGUUUUAAAUGUGUACCUCUGCGCGCGGUAAAGCCUGCUUCGACAGUAAGUGGGUAAUCAAUUAGAAGUAAUGAUUUCCUUUUUUUUUAGCACACAUAUAUACGGCGUCUAUGCCCGGGUUACCUUGUUGUAGCUUUUGUGCGUAUAGAUGUUUUUUCCGUAUGUGCGAUUGUCAAUUCAUGGUGGGGACAGACCAUUGUUAAUUGUUGGUCUCGGUCUUAACUAGGAAUGCCUUGUACGGGUCUUUGGUUCAACAAACCACCCGGAAUACGUCCCUGCCCUUUGUACACACCGCCCGUCGCUCUUACCGAUGGACUUCUCUGUGAGUUUGAGGGACUGGGAACGCAGAAAUUUAUUUCUGCACACCUAUGGAAACUUAAACGAACAGUGUGGUCUAAAGGAAAGAGAAGUCGUAACAAGGCAUCGGUAGGUGAACCUGCAGAAGGAUCA